AUGGCCAUGAUUCCAUCCUCCAAUUCCUCCCCCUUGUCGUCACAAGUACUCGCGGCCAUGGGCCAAGCACCUCCACCGAUGGCGUUUCCCACUUUCGCUGGUGAAAAUCCACAGUUAUGGAAAACGCUCGCCGAGCAGUAUUUCCAGAUGUUCACAGUCCAUGAAUCCUACUGGGUCCCUAUGGCGACCUUGAACUUUUCCGGCCAUGCCGUGAUUUGGCUGCAAUCAGUGCAACACAAAAUCGCCGGGCUCAAUUGGGAGUCGUUUACAUCUUUAUUGUGCACUCGGUUUGGUCGGGAUAAGCACCAGCUUUUGAUCCGACAGUUUUAUGCUAUUCGUCAGACAAAUUCCGUAGCAGAAUUUCUUGAGCGAUUUGAAACAUUGAUGAAUCAUAUGAUCUCGUAUUCUGAACUGACUCAUCCAUAUUUCUUCCUCACACGUUUCAUCGAGGGGCUGCGUGCGGAUAUUCGUGUUGUGGUGCAUAUUCAGAGGCCGCCAGACUUGGACACGGCAUGCUGCUUGGCACUGUUGCAAGAAGAAGUUGCAGAUGGAGAAGCUGACAUGUGA
rnacentral:rRNA from 1 species